UGAAGUUAAGGUUUUAUUAUUAGUAAUAAAUGGAUUUUUAAUUUGAUUAAAAUAUUAAAGGUUUAAUUAUAAUCGAGAAAAAAUAGGGGUUAUAAUAGUAAAUAGUACUGUAAAGGGUUAAAUUGAGCUGUGUUAAAGAAGAUUUAAUUUAUUGUACCUUGUGUAUCAGGGUUUAUUUAAACUGUUUUAAUUUUAAAAGUUCCCGAAUUAUGAAGAGCUAAUUAGUUAAUAUUUUAUUGUAUCAAAAAUAUUUAUAAUAAUUAAUUAGAUGUGAAAUGUUAUUCGUUUCUUAAUAUAUCUGGUUUCUGAGGAAAUAUGUUUAAUAUAGGAUUCUUGGUCGAAAGAAUUAAUUUUUAAUUUAAUUGUGUAGGAAUUUUAAAAAUAAGAGGGAUAAUCUUUUUAUUUUGUUUUUAAAUUAUCUUGGUAUGUGUAUAUUUGAAUGGGAUUAGAGUUGUUCAUUUUUAGAAUUAUGUAAUAAUUUAUUUAUUUAUUUAACAUAUUUUUAUGGUUUAAUUUUAACUACUUAGAAGACUAUUUUGAUAGAUUUUAUAGUGAUAAAAUGAUAAAAUUAUUAUAAUUAAAAUUUAAAUUAUUGCGAUUAAUUAAGGUAAUAAAAAGGAACUCGGCAAUUAUUUUUUUCACCUGUUUAAUAAAAACAUGUCUUUUUGAGAAUAAUUUAAAGUCAAACCUGCCCAAUGAAUAUUUGAAUGGCCGCAGUAUUCUAACUGUGCAAAGGUAGCAUAAUCAUUAGUUUUUUAAUUGAAAGCUGGUAUGAAAGGUUUCAUGAGAAAGAAUCUGUCUCUUUAUUAUUUUAUUAAAAUUUUAUUUUUGAGUGAGAAAGCUUAGAUAAUAUAUAAGGACGAGAAGACCCUAUAGAGUUUAAUAUUUUUACAAUUAUAAUGAUUAGUUUAAUUUAUAUAUAAUGUGUAUAAUAUUUGGUUGGGGUGAUAUAAAAAUUAGAAUAACUUUUUAUUUAUUUUAACAUUGAUUUGUGAUUUUUGGAUCCUUAGUUUAAGAUUGAAAGAGAAAAUUACCUUAGGGAUAACAGCGUCAUUUUUCUUGAGAGUUCAUAUCGAAAGAAAAGAGUGCGACCUCGAUGUUGAAUUAAAAUUUAUUUUAGGUGUAGUGGCUAUAAAAUUAAGUCUGUUCGACUUUUAAAAUUUUACAUGAUUUGAGUUUAGACCGGCGUGAGCCAGGUUGGUUUCUAUCUUUUAUUAAAAUGGAUGUUUUAGUACGAAAGGACCAAACAUUUUGAAAAUUUUAUUGUUAUUUGAAUAAUUAU
rnacentral:rRNA from 1 species